rnacentral:rRNA from 1 species
AUUGAACGCUGGCGGCAGGCCUAACACAUGCAAGUCGAGCGGGGUUUUCGGACCUAGCGGCGGACGGGUGAGUAAUGCGUAGGAAGCUACCCGAUAGAGGGGGAUACCAGUUGGAAACGACUGUUAAUACCGCAUAAUGUCUACGGACCAAAGUGUGGGACCUUCGGGCCACAUCCUAUCGGAUGCGCCUACGUGGGAUUAGCUAGUUGGUGAGGUAAUGGCUCACCAAGGCGACGAUCUCUAGCUGGUUUGAGAGGAUGAUCAGCCACACUGGAACUGAGACACGGUCCAGACUCCUACGGGGGGCAGCAGUGGGGAAUAUUGGACAAUGGGCGCAAGCCUGAUCCAGCCAUGCCGCGUGUGUGAAGAAGGCCUUCGGGUUGUAAAGCACUUUCAGCGAGGAGGAAGGGUUGUGUGUUAAUAGUACACAGCUCUGACGUUACUCGCAGAAGAAGCACCGGCUAACUCUGUGCCAGCCGCCGCCGUAAUAC